rnacentral:rRNA from 1 species
CCGACUGCUAUUUGGGUGAGGAUAAGCCAUGCGAGUUGAAUGGGAUACCUAAAGUUCCCAUAGCAAACUGCUCAGUAACACAUGAUCAACUUGCCCUAUAGAGAAAAAUAACCUCGGGAAACUGAGGAUAAUGUUUCAUAGCUGAAUUGGCUUGGAAAAGUUUUUCAGUUAAAGGGAUAAAAAAAAUGGUUUUUAUCUGCUAUAGGAUAGGAUCGUGGUCGAUUAUGGUUGUUGGUGAGGUAAUGGCUCACCAAGCCGAUAAUCGAUAGGGGCCGUGAGAGCGGGAGCCCCGAGAUGGGUACUGAGACAACGACCCAGGCCUUACGAGGCGCAGCAGGCGCGAAACCUCCGCAAUACACGAAAGUGUGACGGGGUUACCCAAAGUGUUCAAUUUUGAACUGUGGUAGGUGAGUAAUGUUCCCUACUAGAAAGGAGAGGGCAAGGCUGGUGCCAGCCGCCGCGGUAAAACCAGCUCUUCAAGUGGUCGGGAUAAUUAUUGGGCUUAAAGUGUCCGUAGCCGGUUUAGUAAGUUCCUGGUAAAAUCGGGUAGCUUAACUAUCUAUAUGCUAGGAAUACUACUAUACUAGAGGGCGGGAGAGGUCUGAGGUACUACAGGGGUAGGGGUGAAAUCUUAUAAUCCUUGUAGGACCACCAGUGGCGAAGGCGUCAGACUGGAACGCGCCUGACGGUGAGGGACGAAAGCCAGGGGAGCGAACCGGAUUAGAUACCCGGGUAGUCCUGGCCGUAAACGAUGCAUACUAGGUGAUGGCACGGCCAUGAGCCGUGUCAGUGCCGUAGGGAAACCGUUAAGUGUGCCGCCUGGGAAGUACGGUCGCAAGGCUAAAACUUAAAGGAAUUGGCGGGGGAGCACCACAAGGGGUGAAGCCUGCGGUUCAAUUGGAGUCAACGCCGGA